CCCAAAUGGUCACUGCCAUCAGCAGAGGGAAAAAUUCCAAAUACAUGAUGUUUCUUGCCAGGAACAAAGACUGAGCUGCUCACUGAAGCCUCUUAAAACUCAAAAGGUUUUUCUGGAUAACAUACGAGAAUAAAGCUGCUGUGUGGCUUCAGACAAAACAAAAUGAGGAAAUGCACUACUCUCCUUGUCAAAGAACUGAGAUUCAAAAGUUGCUAUUUCUACUUUCUGAGACAAUAAGCGAUAGGACACAAUGAAAGGUUUCAAGUUGAGCAGAGAGGAAUUUCUUCAUGGUCAAGCUUUGGAAGAUGCUAUCCAGGGAAGUGAUGAAGUCUGCAUCCCUAGGAGACCUGAGGAGUCCCAGGCUUUACAAAAUGGAGUGAUUCACAGCAGAAGCCACAACAGAGACCACAAUAUGAGAAAGAGCAAAAGAGGAGGAAAGGCAAUGCGAAGGGGAGAAAAAAGGGAAAGAGAUGGUGAGCUCACACCAAGGACAGAUGAAAUAAAUACUUUUCAUUGAAACUGAAGAGUGGUUUCUUGGGGCAUGUGGUUUUAUACAUUUUGCAUCCUAUUAAUUUUGAUGGAGAAAUAUUAAAACUGCAAGAGUGCUGAAGAUGAAUUAACUCACCAAUUACAUGUAUGCAACAG
ensembl:lncRNA